UCUGCUUCUCUGCAGUCCUGCUUCCAAGCAGUUUUUCUGAUCUCCUUGUUUUUCUUCCCCUGCCUUGCAGUUCACCGUUUGCUGAAGGAAGUCAUGGAAACUUUCUGGUCUCCGUUUUUACUCAUGUCAUGUUCAGAGGAGUUUGGGAACUCCAUCCUUGACACCUCAGCCCUGAGCCUACCCUCUGCUUCCAACUCCAAGCCCAGCUUCUCAGGAGCCACCUGAAAACCACCCGUCAACCUGCCUGUCCACCCUUCAACGUUAAAAUUCUCCAACCAUAGUGGAGUUUCCUGGAAGAGAAUAAACCAAGCACGUCAUCCUCCGAAAACUGUUCACAGCCUCAAGCCUCCGUGGAGAAGGACUUAUUUUCCCCUGGUCUUGUCAAGAACCCAACCCCUAGAGACCCUGUGUUUCUCCACCAGCUCCAGCCCUGGUUCCAGUCCGACCUUUAUCAGUGUUUCAAAAACUGUUAAAAUGCUGUCUUUGUCCUCGUGGUUGUGUAUCUGUGUCUAAGAAAAUGCCAUUAUGAUACUUUUGCAAAAGACUGAAUCAAAAUUUUUUGACCAUUCCUUGACUGUAGAGAAAAUUAAAUUGAGAGGUAAACAAUUGAAGAUUUUACAUAUAGGUUUUUUAGGAGAUACUAUAACGACACUUUUUUUUUUUUUUAAGUACUCAAGCCAGUGCUUCAAGAAGGAUACUAAAUUCUCAAACACGAUAUAUACUUUCUUUACUAUUGGUGUCUUCUGGAUUCAGAGAGUGCAUAUGACUUUGUAUCUGAAGGCAUUUAAUGGGGGACCUUAUGCGAGUACAGGAUACUUUGGUAGUUUUUAAAUACCUCUCCUUGUAUACCUAAACCAAGAGCUUUGAUCAGUGUUGGAACAAAGCCAAGCUUGUUCCAAAUGCAGAUUUUGACUUGCCUCCUAUCACUUCUGAUUGUAUGGUUAAGAGAGGUCCUUGGCCCCACUGUACACAGGGUUGAAUUUAAAGGUUGCUAACCACAGGUUCUUGAGGACUGGUGAUGGAGACCCGCAAAUAGACAGAUUCAAAUUCAAUUACAUACAGUCCAAUUCUAGCUGAAUGAUAACAUAAUGCUGUCAAAUACAGUUGAUAAUUUCAUAGAAAUUGGUAAAAGUUACCUAAAGAACUGUAGCUGAUUCCAUCAUGUCAGU